UACGUAGGGCGCAAGCGUUGUCCGGAAUUAUUGGGCGUAAAGAGCUCGUAGGCGGUUUGUCGCGUCUGCUGUGAAAACCUAAGGCUCAACCUUGGGCUUGCAGUGGGUACGGGCAGACUAGAGUGCGGUAGGGGUGACUGGAAUUCCUGGUGUAGCGGUGAAAUGCGCAGAUAUCAGGAGGAACACCGGUGGCGAAGGCGGGUCUCUGGGCCGAAACUGACGCUGAGGAGCGAAAGCGUGGGGAGCAAACAGG
rnacentral:rRNA from 1 species